rnacentral:rRNA from 1 species
AACGAACGCUGGCGGCGCGCCUAACACAUGCAAGUCGAACGAGAAUCCGGGGCAACCCGGUAGUAAAGUGGCAAACGGGUGAGGAAUACAUGGGUAACCUACCCUUGAGAAGGGAAUAACCCGCCGAAAGGUGAGCUAAUACCCUAUACGCUAUCUUUUUUUCGAAAACGGAUAGGAAAGCCGGGUCGAGGACCUGGUACUCAAGGAGGGGCUCAUGUCCUAUCAGCUUGUUGGUGGGGUAACGGCCUACCAAGGCUACGACGGGUAGCUGGUCUGAGAGGAUGAUCAGCCACACUGGCGACUGAGAUACGGGCCAGACUCCUACGGGAGGCAGCAGUGAGGAAUAUUGCGCAAUGGGCGAAAGCCUGACGCAGCGACG